rnacentral:rRNA from 1 species
CCUACGGGUGGCAGCAGUGAGGAAUAUUGGUCAAUGGACGCGAGCCUGAACCAGCCAAGUAGCGUGCAGGAUGACUGCCCUACGGGUUGUAAACUUCUUUUGUAAAAGGGUAAAGUGAGAUACGUGUACCUUUCUGUAUGUACCUUACGAAUAAGGAUCGGCUAACUCCGUGCCAGCAGCCGCGGUAAUACGGAGGAUCCAAGCGUUAUCCGGAUUUAUUGGGUUUAAAGGGGGCGUAGGGGGGUUGUUAAGUUAGGUGUGAAAGUCUGAGGCUCAACCGUAGAAUUGCCAGUGAUACUGGCAGGCUUGAGUAUAGUUGAGGUAGGCGGAAUGCGUGGUGUAGCGGUGAAAUGCUUAGAGAUCACGAAGAACACCGAUUGCGAAGGCAGCUUACUAAGCUGCCUCUGACAUUGAGGUACGAAAGUGUGGGGAGCAAACAGGAUUAGAUACCCGAGUAGUC